CCCAACACCCAAAAUCCCCUCCCAUCGCCGCAUCCUCUCUCCUCCCGUUCCCCAUUCCUCCUGCUCCAUCUACGGCAGAUCCCGGCCAACUCCGGCCAGCCCCCCUGCCUUGCUGGCCACCAUCCCGACACUCCCUCAUCCUCCUCUCUCGAAUCCUCCGCGAGGAACAGCCAGGCCGCAUCACCACCUCAAACCCUAGCCUCCGGCUCUACAGAGCUCAAGUUUCGACCUUUGGGUCCAUGGCGGCGACACGGCCGCAGGACGGGGUGAGGCGGUUCGGUGGCGAUCUUAACGCGCAGACCGCAAUGGAUUUCUCAGCUCCAUGCGCGUGGCGCACCUGAAUCCUCUUUUUUGCCACCCCGCUCAAACCCUAGACCCGCCGCGGCCAAAUCCUAUCACCGCCCCAACUCCGGCAACCGAGAACAUGUUGGCCACCGUGGAAGGCCAAGGACUACUACGAAGAGGGCCACGCGCCAGGAGGACAGCGGCAACGCCCCGACAAACAUGCUGCUGCUACCCCCCGUGAGCGAGGUUCAAAUCAUAUUUGGGCACCAAGCUGCUGCUUAUGGAACCAUACCAGGAGGUGGCGGCCAGCCAGGUGAGGAGGAGGCUGACUUCAUCGGUGACAUCUGCAAGUGCCGCGGGGAGGUGCUACAGUCGCUGAUGAUCGACGGCAUCUAUUGACUUGGUCUCCGGAAAGAGAAACUCACCGACGAGGAGGUGCGCCGUUGUCGUGACAAGGAUGCUGAACUGCUGCUUGUUGCCUACACCAUCCGCGUUGAAGGCCUCCUGAAGCUCUUGCCUGUGCUCACUGAUCCGACCUGGCACAACUCCGAUGGGCUGCUGUUGCCAAUGACUUGCAGCUGGUUCAAAUCAUAUCAGAGGAUGAGAAGGAGAGACUCAAUGGCGUUGCAAGAGGAAGUCUCUACGGUGGCCGCCAAUCAGCUAUGAGGUCUUCAUCAAUAGCAUCUCACCUACCAGGAGGUUACCGCCGCCACCAACCGUCCAUUCUUUGUGUAGGUUCAGUGCACGCUGCCAUGCUUGUUUGGGUUUAACUGAAUCUGUUGCAUGCCCUCAUGGUUAUGAAUGAAUGAAUAAAACUGAAUAGCCGCUUGAUGCAAUCCUCUCUUUCUUGGACAACUCGCUUUUGGGCUCUGAAUUUUGUCAGCACUGUCGGUUACAACUCUUAUAUGAAAUGGCUAGAACAACAUAUGAUCGUCAAUGAGUUUCCACUAUAAUUUCUCCAACUGUAAUUUGCCAGAUUAGUAAAGUUGCAUAUCUAUGAUAUCUUUUAAGUUUGUUUCUUCUUGCACUCGAUAAUCAUGUUUAGAAUUUAAUUGCCACCAUUGUUGAGGUCUCUCUUCACCACCUCCUCCAUGUGUUGCUCUUUUUUUUUCCUGUUGAAAUGUGUACGGUGUUGAAUGGAUGAACAUGCAUUGUGUGCUUAGGCAGUGGGUCUGCUGAUUUUUUUGCUGCUUAUGCAUCGACAGUGCUGACAAAUUCUAUUGUUUUCAAGUUCAAUGCAUAUCGGAGCUGAAAAAAAGGCAUGAAGUUGGGGAACUGGGACGAGAUGGUUUGAUUACGAAUUGGUAUUAUGGAGUGCUUGCUUAUUUUUUCGUGACUCAUUUAUGGCAUAAGAAUAAGAUGAUAAGAUAUAUGGAUGAUUUUGCUUUAUUAAUUGAAUGAUCUGAUUUUUGUCCCAUUAUUUGCUUUUUGGCUCUUUCCUCCGCUCUUCUACUUUGUUCUGUAUUCUUUCAUGUCUGAUUGGUGAUGGCAUGCAUGGCUGAGCCAUUUCUUUCUUGAAUUUGUCAAAAUUUUGCCUGAAUUCGCCUCCUUCCAUUUCAGGAUAUUGGCCCCAAGGAUUUGUUGGGUGGUGGAGGCCAAGAGGCAAGUAGUCACCUACAGCAGCCGGAUGACGGUAUAGCCCAAGGGGGUGGUGGAUUCAGGGCCGACAAUGAUCUCAGCUUGGAUGAUGCCAGGCACGAGAAUGGCUAUGCUUGGAAGUCUUUGAUAUUGGAAAAAAUGGAUGGUCUCUCCUAUUUUGCGAGUUAAUCGAUGGACGAGCUGAGCUUCUUUGACUAGUGAUGUGAUGCUGCAGCGGUACAUGGAGCCAUGCUUCUUCUGUGGUGCUUCUGCAGGGGUUCCCUGAUGCGGCAGCACCAGCAGCAAGAGAGAAGAAGAGUUGAUGGUCCGUGAUGGUUUUUUUUGUGUUUAUUCAAGUGAUGGUGCUCUUGUAGUGUUGUGGUCUUAAAUUUUCUGCUAGCUGUGUGGUGCUCUUGUAACAUUAAUUAUUUUUAACUUGCUUCGUUGGUUAAACUUGUGGGUCGAAUUCUGUACCAGAGUGAUGUUUUUGUCACUUGUUAUCAUAUAUUUGCUGUGUGAUCAGAA